GCUCAGAGCGGUCGGAAAUCGCUCGUUGAGUGCAAUGGCAUAAGCCAGCCUGACUGCGAGACUGACAAGUCGAGCAGAGUCGAAAGACGGCCAUAGUGAUCCGGUGGUCCCAAGUGGGAGGGCCAUCGCUCAACGGAUAAAAGGUACGCCGGGGAUAACAGGCUGAUACUGCCCAAGAGUCCAUAUCGACGGCAGUGUUUGGCACCUCGAUGUCGGCUCAUCUCAUCCUGGGGCUGGAGCAGGUCCCAAGGGUACGGCUGUUCGCCGUUUAAAGAGGUACGUGAGCUGGGUUUAGAACGUCGUGAGACAGUUCGGUCCCUAUCUGCCGUGGGUGUAGGAUACUUGAGAGGAGUUGCCCCUAGUACGAGAGGACCGGGGUGAACGGACCACUGGUGGACCUGUUGUCGUGCCAACGGCAGUGCAGGGUAGCUAUGUCCGGACAGGAUAACCGCUGAAGGCAUCUAAGCGGGAAGCCCCCCUCAAAACAAGGUAUCCCUGAGGGCCGUGGUAGACCACCACGUCGAUAGGAUGGAGAUGUAAGUGCGGUAACGCAUUCAGUUGACCAUUACUAAUUGCCCGAUAGGCUUGAUUUG
rnacentral:rRNA from 1 species